GUAGUUGGUGUAGUUCGGUAGACAGAAAAGAGUUCCUACAUGAAACUGCUCAAAACCAGGUCUGUGGAUUAUCUUGAGCAUUGGUGCCCAACCUUUUUU